rnacentral:rRNA from 1 species
UAGGGAAUCUUCGGCAAUGGGGGGAACCCUGACCGAGCAACGCCGCGUGAGUGAAGAAGGUUUUCGGAUCGUAAAGCUCUGUUGUUAAGGAAGAACGAGUGUGAGAAUGGAAAGUUCAUACUGUGACGGUACUUAACCAGAAAGGGACGGCUAACUACGUGCCAGCAGCCGCGGUAAUACGUAGGUCCCGAGCGUUGUCCGGAUUUAUUGGGCGUAAAGCGAGCGCAGGCGGUUAGAUAAGUCUGAAGUUAAAGGCAGUGGCUCAACCAUUGUAGGCUUUGGAAACUGUUUAACUUGAGUGCAGAAGGGGAGAGUGAAUUCCAUGUGUAGCGGUGAAAUGCGUAGAUAUUAGGAGGAAUACCGGUGGCGAAGGCGACUUUCUGGCCAUAAUCUGACGCUGAGGUACGAAAGCGUGGGUAGCAAACAGG